CGUGUAGGCGGCCUAAUAAGUUAGAAGUGAAACCUAUCGGCUCAACUGAUAGCCUGCUUCUAAACUGCUAAGCUUGAGUGCAGAAGAGGGGAGUGGAAUUCCCAGUGUAGCGGUGAAAUGCGUAGAUAUUGGGAGGAACACCAGUGGCGAAAGCGGCUCCCUGGUCUGUAACUGACGCUGAGGCGCGAAAGCGUGGGUAGCAAACA
rnacentral:rRNA from 1 species